CCGAGUUUAUCCAACUCCCAAACCCCUGUGAAAUUAUACCUUUAAUUGUUGCCUCGGGAUCAGGCCGGGACCCGUUAAACGGGACGGCCCGCCGCCGGGAUCCACAAAACCUUCUGAUUUUUUAUAGUAAUCUUCUGAGUGUUAAAAAAAAAAUGAAAUCA
rnacentral:misc_RNA from 1 species